AUGAAACUCUUGGCUCUUGCCCUAAUUUUGAUGGUGGCGAGCUCUUCCUUUGCCGCAGGGAAGACGUCAAAUGAACAUGAUGGAUAUUUGCAUGGCCGGGAGCUAGGUGAGGAGGCGGAGGUCGGCCAAGGAGGGUAUGAUGGGUACCCUGGAAGCAGUGUCAACAACCACCAUCACCUCCCUUGGCAGGACUUCAACAGCAAGGAUGGUAGUGAUAACGAUAAUGGCGGUGGCUAA
rnacentral:lncRNA from 1 species